UCCUUCUUAAAGCUGACACUAUAAAUAUCCCUGAGCUCAUCCAUGACGUCAACACCAAGUGCACCGACCACACCAACACCGACCACAAAGACCGAUAAUCUAUAGUUUCCUAAUCAUCACCAAAUUGCCCCAAUAAACCGGCAAGCCAUAUAACCGACUGGCGAUCAAACCAUUGGAUUCACCAAAAACACCGACAAGACCACUAUAUCCAACAUUGCCACCAAGACACAUACCACAAAGAAAGAGGAUGAGGAAGGAAUAAACAAAAUGAAAAGAUCACCUGUUUCCUAGCAUUACGCCGGCGAACUAGAAACAACAUGAACAUCAAAAGCACCACCAUCUCCAAACUCCAAAACGGAGCCCUACCGCCAACAUCCAGUAACCCUCUAGAGAUGUAGAUCAAAAAACGUAGGAGAACCGAGGAAGAAAGAAUAAGCAGAGGGAUGACACACCACCAAAUUAAACAGAUAAGAACCCCUUCAGCAAGAACAAUCCGCGAUCUAGAAAAACAACCUAGAGAAGACAUGCGAAAGAUCAAGGAUUAAACACAAGAAAUGGAGCAACACCUUUAUACAAGAUGCCAAUCUACCCACUGACACCAAGAACGCCAAAUCCCCCAAAGAAACCACCAGAUCACCACCAAAAUCAGUCAAAUCAGACCCACACAACAACCCGGGACCACCACCAGAACCAAAUCCACAAACUGAUUCAGAAAGAUCACAACCAACCUCAAUGAAUCGGCCAAACAAAAACAAGACGAGUAACGAGGAAAGAACAAUACAAGAAAAACCAGAGCAACAAACAAAGAACACGGAGCAAAAGAACUCCAACCAAACACCUCCAACCAAAGGAUAAACUCUUAGGACAAGAGAGCUCCUAUGAAAGGAGAACUUAAAGCUCUAGGAUUCAGUGCAAGCAAACACCCCACUCGGCACUCAUGUCUCUCUCUCUCUCUCUCUCUACAUUCACUUUAUAUUCCACAGUACGCCUUUCUUUCUCUCUACCAUCACUCCUUCCUCAUACUCCACAGGAUACCUCCCUCUCUCCAAUCACUCUUCCCCCAAUCUUAACAGAUUGUCCAGGUAAGGAGACAAUGUUUUUGGAUGCUCAUCAUCCUUAGAGGCUCAUGAACCAUUUGAAGCAUUUUUGUAUAAGGACAUGCACUUGUUUAGCAUGCUUUACUUUUGGAUGAUAUAUUUUGUAUGCCAUGGAUGUAUGGUAUUUUAGAAGCUAAGAUGACUUCCUUCUUGUACAUUUUGAAGUACAUUUUGAAGUGUUCAUUUUGCAUGUAUGACAUGAGGCCAAGGGCCAUUAACUCGAAAGGUUGCAAGUAUGCUUUCUUUAAAACUAAAGUAUUGCUAUUGUAGCUUAUUUAUGAGAAUUUGAGGCUUAGUAUACCAAAAUUUGUAAAUGUAUUGUAAUAAGGCCAUAAGCCAUUGUAGCA